CAAGCCAAAGACCAGAGCGCUGCAGCAACCUCUCCGAAGAUGUCCGGCGCCUGUCACCGAUCCGUCCGCUUGUCGCCGCUGUUCCAGGAAGAGAUCGACGAUGACAUCACCAGCGAGCUCUCCGCGACGAGCUGGUCCCUGUACACAUGGUUCCCGAGCCAGGAGAUCAGCGGAGUGACGCCUAGCCCCACGCCCGACCAGCCACCGUCGUGCUUCGGCAGCUAUCGUGCGGAGUGUAAUACCUGUUGUUGCAAGGAGAGUGCGAACGCUAGCGACAAAUAAG